UACGAAGGGGGCUAGCGUUGUUCGGAAUCACUGGGCGUAAAGGGUGCGCAGGCGGGUUCAUAAGUUAGUGGUGAAAUCCCGAGGCUCAACCUCGGAACUGCCUGUGAUACUGUGGAUCUUGAGUCCGGAAGGGGCGAGUGGAACUGCGAGUGUAGAGGUGAAAUUCGUAGAUAUUCACAAGAACACCGGUGGCGAAGGCGGGUCACUGGUCCGGAACUGACGCUGAGGCACGAAAGCGUGGGGAGCAAACAGG
rnacentral:rRNA from 1 species